GGGGACGACUUGGCUUCGACGUGGGUCGCAAAACCUGAGGUGCAUGCCGAGAAUGUAGACAAACUCGUUAAACUUUCUGCAAAUUAUAGUUGCAAACGAUGACAACUACGCAAUCGCCGCUUAAACUCCGGUAGACUGCUGUCGGACUGGAUACGUGUCUAUGCGUCCAGGUUCUUCGGAACACUCCGGCAUCGCUCUCAUAGAAUCGUGAUGGAGGCUUGUUCGGGGCCAAAGCACUAAACAAAUACCGAGCCAGCUGCGUGUCUUCCCCGUCCGGCGGGUAGCACGUAGUUAAAUUAAAGUCGGAAUAAGCAUGUAGAGCCAAUGGCAGAGGGCUGGCGGACGCGGGUUCGAUUCCCGCCGUCUCCACCA
rnacentral:tmRNA from 1 species